AGUCACUGACAUUAGAUACCCCUGUAGUCCAGGGUGUAAACGCUGCAGACUUGGUGUUGGAGGCCCUUUGGGGGCAUUCAGUGCCGGAGAGAAGUUGUUAAGUCUGCUACUUGGGGAGUACGUCCGCAAGGAUGAAACUUAAAGGAAUUGGCGGGGGAGCACCGCAACGGGAGGAGCGUGCGGUUUAAUUGGAUUCAACACCGUAAAACCCACCAGGGAAGACUGUUACAUGAAGGCCGAGAUGAAGACUCUGCUAGAUUUUCAG
rnacentral:rRNA from 1 species